CCGCGGGAUUAGAGUUUGAUCCUGGCUCAGGACGAACGCUGGCGGCGUGCUUAACACAUGCAAGUCGAGCGGAAAGGCCCACUUGUGGGUACUCGAGCGGCGAACGGGUGAGUAACACGUGAGUAAUCUGCCCUUCACUUGGGGAUAACGUCCAGAAAUGGGUGCUAAUACCCGGUACUCCCAGGUCCACGCAUGUGGGUGUGGGGAAAGGUUUUUCUGGUGGGGGAUGUGCUCGCGGCCUAUCAGCUUGUUGGUGGGGUAAUGGCCUACCAAGGCUUUGACGGGUAGCCGGCCUGAGAGGGUGACCGGCCACACUGGGACUGAGACACGGCCCAGACUCCUACGGGAGGCAGCAGUGGGGAAUAUUGGACAAUGGGCGGAAGCCUGAUCCAGCAACGCCGCGUGAGGGAUGACGGCCUUCGGGUUGUAAACCUCUUUCACCAUUGACGAAGUUGCAUCUUUUUGGGUGUGGUGACGGUAGGUGGGGAAGAAGCACCGGCCAACUACGUGCCAGCAGCCGCGGUAAUACGUAGGGUGCGAGCGUUGUCCGGAAUUAUUGGGCGUAAAGGGCUCGUAGGCGGUUUGUCGCGUCGGGAGUGAAAACCUCGGGCUUAACUCGGGGCUUGCUUUCGAUACGGGCAGACUAGAGGUAUGCAGGGGAGAACGGAAUUCCUGGUGUAGCGGUGAAAUGCGCAGAUAUCAGGAGGAACACCGGUGGCGAAGGCGGUUCUCCGGGCAUGAUCUGACGCUG
rnacentral:rRNA from 1 species